UUUAAAUAUAGCUAUUCAUAGACCAAAGAAUAGAUAUGUGAUCAAAUUCCAGAUAACCUUAUGAACUUCAGCGUUGUGUAAUUUUGGUCCGGUUUAAAACAUAAAAGACAUGACUCUGAUAAAAAGCAAAAAUUCAUUAUAGAAAAGUUAGUUAAUAUCCAGAAAAAUAUUGAAAUAAUUACGAGGCCAACAAAAACGUAGCUUUCUGAUGAAUUAUAGACUCUAAUCACAUCUGAUUUUUUUUAAAGUGUAUGCUAACAUACGAUAUUCCCGGGCUUGUAUUUCCUAUCAUAAUUUCCUUGAUUGAGGAUUGCUACUCACAUAAUAGCUAUUAAACCAAGAGUUACAAACCGUUAUAGAAUAUUCGUUUCACAAAAUCCUAUAAUCCUGUUCCCUUUUGACCAAUGUGACCUACCGAAUUAAUUAUUAACCGGGUUUGUAAUAACAUGAGCAACAC
rnacentral:lncRNA from 1 species